rnacentral:RNase_P_RNA from 1 species
ACAGCCCAAAAGCCGCGAGGCUCACGCCGCACAGGACGCCUUGUGCCUCCAUAGUCGUGAGCGGGCUAAGGUCUGAGUAUUCGGGUACUUGAGACAUCGUCCGGUACAAGUCCCACUCGACCGACUCUAGCUGGGUCCGGUUCCAAGAACUGAGCGGUGCACCAGAGAAUCGCUCGCCAUUAAUACGUCAUGCCUUCAAUCCCAAAGAUCCCACUGGUGCAGUAAUUCAAGCUGGCUGAUGGGGGGAGGGAGCGAUGGCGGCUUUGGAACACGCCGUUGGGACUGGGCGGAUCUCUUCGUCGUCUCAACUCCCACUUAUCGUGUCUCCCGGUGAUGCUGCUACGUGCUAAUCACCAAGAAGGCUAGAUGCAGAAAUGGUCUAGUCAUAUUGCCGUGCACUCUGCGCUGGCGGGGGAUGGACGAGGGCGCUGAGAGUCGGGCGACGAAUGUCCGUCCUUGAGCGCACUUCGCGGCGCGCAUAUGGGGUCGAACCCUCUGCGCAACUCGAUUCAGACUACUCUUGUGCUGU